GGUGGGGCUCGAACUCACACACCAUGAGAUGGUGACCUGAGCCGAAGUCGGACGCCCAGCCGACUGAGCCACCCAGGUGCCCCUUGGGAUUUUUUUUUUAAUGGACUUCAGUUUUGAAAUUUGGAGAAACUUGUGACAAUCAUACAGCGUUUCCAGGCACAGCUGCCCACCGUUUCCCCCUUAUUCACUUCUCACAGUCGUGUGGUGGAUCCGUUAAAAUUAAUGAACCAAUAUUGGUACGUUAUUAUUAAAGAAAGUCCAUAGUUUAUUUAGAUUUUGCCUUAGCUUGGGCCGCUGUAAGAAAACGCCAUAAACUGGAUGCCUUGAAUAACAGGAAAUUAUUUCUCACAAUUCUGGAGGCUGGAAGUUGAGAUCAGGGUGCUAGGAUAUUAUGCUGUGAUUAGAACACUCUUUCCGUUUGUAGAACACUCUUUCCAUUUGUAGAGUGCCCACUGCUUGUAUUCUCACACGGUGCACCCGGGGAGCUGUCCAUCUGGUAUUUUUCAUAAGGGCACUGAUCUCAUUCAUGAGGACUCUACACUCAGGACCUAAUUAACUUUUCAAAGACCCACCUCCGUAUCCAAUCGCACUGGGGAUUAAAUGUCAACACGUGAACUUUGGAGACACACAGACAUUCAGUCCAGAGGAGAUUUCCUUGGUUUUUAACCAUGUAUCCAUGCAGCAUCCCACAUUACACUGUCUUGUCAUGUCUUUUUAGGCUCCUCUUAGCUGGGACAGCCUCUUAGACUUUGCUUGUUCAUGAUGGUCUGACAGUUUUUAGGAGCGCCGCUCGGGUAUGUUGUGGAAUGCCCCUCUUUGCCGUUUGUCCGAUACUUUUCUCAUAAUCAGCCGGGGGUGAUGGGUUUGGGGAGGAAGGUCACAGAGGAAAAAUGCCAUUUUCAUCACAUUACAUCCAGGGUGCACAGUGUCACCAAUGGUAUAUGACUGUUGGGGCGAUCGUGAUCACCUGACGGAACUUUGUCAACUGUCUCCACUGUAGUUACUCCUUUUUCCUCCUUCCAUUCUGUCCUCUUUGGAAGGGAGUCACCACAAGCAGCCCACACUUCAGGAAUGGGGAGUUAGGCUUUCUCACCCUAGAGUGAAGUAUCUUCGUAAAUUAUCUGGGACUUUUCUGCCCAGGACAUGUUUUCUUUCCCUCCAUUUAUUAAUGUGUUCGGUUAUUUGUUUAUAGCAAUAUGGACUCACUGAUAUUUAUUUUACAUUGGCCUUAUCAGUCGUAGUCUAUUGAGGCAGCUAUAGCAAAACAUCCCAGCCUGGGUGGCUGCUGAACAAAAGAAACAUCUCGCUCACGCUUGUGGAGGCUGGAGUCUGAGAUCAGGGGCCAGCACGGUUGGGAGAGGGACCGCUAUAGAAUUUCUCAUUGUGGCCUCACAGGGAAGAAGGGUCUCAGGAGCUCUGGGGCGGGGCGGGGGGGGGGGGCUCUUUUAUAAGGCUGAUCCCAUUCAUGAGGGUGGAACACUCAUGACCUACUCACUCUCAAGAGGCCCCCCCGCCCCUUCUAACACCAUCACGUGGACCAGAGGGAUUCUAACACGCGAAUUUUGUGGGGACACCAACAUUCAGGCCACACCGGAACCAGGCACCACUUUACUUAUUUUUCGCUCAGACUCUUGCAGCUUUGGCCCCUGGGGGCUCUUCCGGUUGGUUCCUGUGCUUUACUGUUUUGUUUCCUGAAAAUCCGCUCGCUUGCCUCCUGGAGGAUGUUAUGAUAUAAUAUUAAAACACAAAGAAGACAGAGCAGCGUUUAACAGAAUGGUUUUGGAUACGUGCACCAGCUGAUUCAAUAAAGCACAAUUUCAUUUUAAAAUCUGACCUCUAGUAGAAAGUGAGGUCCUCCGUGAAGUAGUCACUGGUUUAUUUAUUUUGUAAUGUGAUGGCUUAAGACGUGGCGGUCGUUGUUCUGGGAACUGAGGACACAGAGGCCCUUCUCGGUCAGAGUCGACGUCCUCCUUGCGGAAGAGACGAACACACGGAGGCGGUUCUCGCUUCGUAUGGUGUCGAUGUGCACAAAUGUCAGCCAGUCCUUCGACACACGCUUCCAGUUUUAUUUACCCCAGGGAAUUUACCACGAACAAUUGCAUGAAGUAUAAACGUUCCUGCCGGGUCUUCUUUAGCCACAGGUCCCUACGUAACUAACAGAUGCACAUUACGGAAGAUACCCCUGUGUCAGUUUCCAGAGCACGUUCCCAUGGACCCUGCUCAUGCCCAGGUAUGAAGACCAGCUCUGGGGGCAGCAAGGACUGGGAGAGGAGCAGCAGGAACUGUGGGCAGGUGGGCGCUGACCCUGUGUGACCUGCGGGCUGCCCCUUCCACUGACCUGGCUCCUUCUGGGACUGACCUGGGGCUGUCCUCCUUGUCCAUAACUCACCAGUCAAUCCGUUGCUUCCUGUGGACAUAGAUGGCAGAGACAGAGACGAGCAGCAGCAGCUUGGGGCCCAAGGAGAGAGCCACCAGGAGUGCAGUGGACAGUUCUCGAUCUGGAAAUGAAGGGACAGGAGGCAGCAUCAGAGAGGGAUCCAGGAGUCCACUCCCAGGGGCCUCCACUUACUCCAUCUGAGGAGACCUGGUCCCAUCAACGCUCUGCAGCUCAUGAGUCUCCCCUGGGAGAAGCUCGAGGCAGAAUUCAGAAUAAGAAGUACCUCAUCUCGCUCACCCCCUCUCAGGCUACCGGGUGUCCUUCCGGAGGGAAGGGGUGGAGACAAAGAGAACUCAACAACACGCAAGUGAGCUUUACUGACUUGUCCCCACACCCAAUGGGGCAGGUCUGAUGCUCUCUUUCUGAGAAGGCAACAGGCUCAUAGUUUACGGAGGGUCAUCGGAUGAGUGGGAAAUCAUUCACUGCUGUCCCGUAGGAUGAAUCUGCGACCUUGUCUUUGGACCAGGAUGUGUUCAACCUUUCAGGGUCAUAGCAACGAAUAUCAGCCCAGCCUCGAGUACAGUGAGGACAGUGUCAUGGUGACCGAGGUGCCAGUCUGCCCAGCUUGUUCCACACUCAGGCCUCGAUGUUCUCACGUGCCGAGGGAGCUCUCAGAGUGCCCUGACCUCACGAGACCUGCUGGCUGGACAACACCUGAGGGAGGCAAGGAAACUCUCAGGAGGGCUUUCAAACACCAUCCAGCCCACCUGGACCCCAGUGCCAGCAUCAGUUUGCAAGAAAACACAUCACCCCUGGAGAAGUGGCACUUACGCGUCUGACAGAGCUAGACAAAUAGAUUCAGUCAUAUGCUUGGUUCAAAUGUGGAUAGAAUCUCUGUACGCGGCAGGUGACAACCACCAAGUCCGAGGAGGGUGAAGACUGGGACACUGUCACUGUAGGGGGAACUGACACAGCCCAGAGAAAGCAGACAAUCACUAGAGGAAGGCCACUGUGGGAGCCUGGAAAUUCCUGGAGAUGGGUCAUCUGCCCAGGGUCUGCCCCAGAGGAGGAUUCAGGUACCUGUUAACAGAUUCCUGCACAGUCUCCACAGACGUUCUCAUGGCCCCUGCUCCGGAAUAGGUGUGAAGACCCAGCUCUGGGGGCAUCGAGGUCUUUGAGGAGGAACAGCAGGAACUGUGGG